rnacentral:rRNA from 1 species
CGUACACUCCUACGGGAGGCAGCAGUGAGGAAUAUUGGACAAUGGGUGGAAGCCUGAUCCAGCCAUCCCGCGUGCAGGAAGACGGCCCUAUGGGUUGUAAACUGCUUUUAUCUGGGGAUAAACCUACUUACGUGUAAGUAGCUGAAGGUACCAGAAGAAUAAGCACCGGCUAACUCCGUGCCAGCAGCCGCGGUAAUACGGAGGGUGCAAGCGUUAUCCGGAUUUAUUGGGUUUAAAGGGUCCGUAGGCGGACUGAUAAGUCAGUGGUGAAAUCCGACAGCUUAACUGUCGAACUGCCAUUGAUACUGUUAGUCUUGAGUAAGGUUGAAGUGGCUGGAAUAAGUAGUGUAGCGGUGAAAUGCAUAGAUAUUACUUAGAACACCAAUUGCGAAGGCAGGUCACUAAGUCUUAACUGACGCUGAUGGACGAAAGCGUGGGGAGCGAACAGGAUUAGAAACCCUGGUAGUCCCAUG